CCUGUAUGACCUGCAGGGGGACAGCUGCCUCACCAUGGUCUGCACCGUGGGCUGUAGGAGAAUCUCUGCCCUGAGCAUGGAGCACCUCCCCCAUCCUUCUGCACUGACUUCGGUGUCUGCAAAGUUGUUCCUGUCACAAAUCAGAAAAGUUGAUUACAUUGGAUUAGUCUGUCUUAUUUCAUUAUGGCACAUAGGCUCUGCCCUGGCCUCCCAGUGCCUCACAGCCUGCAGGGCUGCUGGUGCCUCUGCUCGGCCAGUGCCACCACACUGCCAGCAGCAGCAGCACAGGGUGCCCAGCACGGGAGCAAGACAUCCCAAAGCCCAAAGGGCUGGAUCUGCACUCUUGGAUGUGAGGGUUUGUAUGUUGGCCCUCAAGGCCUGCACUGCUUGGCCCCAGGGUGGCUCAGGCCUGCUUAGGGACAGCCGGCCCUUCUGCUCACAGGAACGGAGCUACAAAAUGCUGUGUGGGAACUGCUGCUACGGCCCUUACACACUCUGGCUUAUUCCAAUAUGUUUUCAAUCUCAAAAGAGACAGUUUAAGUCAAACUCUCCCUCUACUCCAUGCAGACAGAUGUUGGAGAGACCUUGACCGAACCUGAGGGGACGGUGGAAGGUCACUUCCCAGCAGGUGCCUCCCAGCAGUGGAUGCACCUGCACUGUGGCAGCUCCCUCGAACGCCAACCUCCUCUCGUUGCCUUGGAGACAGUCCUCCAGUCCUGGGGUCAUAAAGCCAUGGAAUCCUCGACUCCUACGGCCAUGGAAUCCUAGAGUCAUGGAAUCCUAGGAAACGACAGAGUCUGGUGCUGACUUUUGACUUUGAGAUGACAGGUUCCUGAGACUGUUCUCCACUUCAUGAAUUGUCUUGACUGUUUCAGUCAAUUGCUUGUCUCUUCUCAAUUCUGAUGUGGACUGUUCUUAUUCAGUCCUUCAAAUUCUUGAUCCUCGAUUCUUUCCCUUGGCCAAAUAUAUUCUAAGCCUCCUCUAAAGAACCAUGAGUGCCACACAGCCCACUGAAGCCAGAGGUGGAAUUGACUUUCUAUUUAAGGACUAAUGGAACAUACUACAUUUCCUUAUCACAUUUUAAAUGGAUGGUUCACAUUUAUUGCUUCUGUUACAAUCCUCAGGUAUCCAUGGUUAUCACCCUGAACCCUAUGGCUAUUCCAUUGCAGUUAUUCCAGAGGAAUAUGUUUUAGAGUGAGGUGGCUCAGAAUUCCCAUUUUCAGAUGAGAAAUGCUGGACUGUUUUAUGAAAAUGAUUUUGCCUGAAAUGUUUUAUCACAAAACACACUGUCAUCAUGAGCAAAGCCUGAUGGAGAAAGGGAUAGUGUAGUCUUCGUUUUGAAAGGAGGUUUGAAAUGCAGAUAUGCUGUAGACUUUUCUUGUUGGUUGUAAUUACUGAACCUGGUUUAUUUGUGUUUAAACCUUCAGCUGAUAUUACAGACUGGUUUUCUUCUGUUCACCACCUUCAAAAUGGAGGCAUGGCCUCCCUUCACAUCUGCAUAGAUAAGAUGGGUCAAAACAGAGAAAAAUCUUGCUUUUCUCUUUCUCAUAGGAAAUAAAGCACAAAGCUUACAGUCUUCCACAUACAAAGCCUCCUACCUAUUCUGCAGAGGUACCUGGGGGAGUGCUGUGGGUGAAGAAGGAUUUCACUUGCCCGUCCAAGUAUGGACUGGCCUCCAUUUGCUUCUUUCUUCAAAACUGGUACCUGUUCCUUGCUGGGGGAUGGAUAGAGGAUCCCCUUGAUCUUAAAUAUUUCUGGUGAAUGCUCCUGUCUUAGGGAGGCCAGACCAUGGUCCUACCAGUUUAUCUCCCACUCAGAUUCUUUAAUGUUUCUCAGCCUUUCUACUUCAUCUCAUAACUCAUAACCAGGCUGAGCAGGUCGUCCACUUGGAAACAUCUGAUGCAACUGCCAUCACUGCUACAAUCCCUUGAGAGGGUUACACAUUCCCUAUAGCCUGAAGGCUGGACAGAUGCAUGUUUUUUUCCAUGUUUUGCAUGGGGUUUUGGGAGCUCUGUCUGGGUUGAUGCAUAGUUUUUGGUGAGCUUAGACAACUUGGCUCUGUGCCGAGCAGACACCAUAUCUGAGCUCUCUCGGUGAGUGUAAAGACCAGCAAAUGAGCAAAUGAGCUCACUGGCUGUGCUGCAGUGACUCAGAGCCAUUCCCACUUGCCCUGCCUGCAUGAAAUGCCCCCAAACUAAAGCACCACAAACUUCUGAUGUGCCAUGUCCUGUUGCCCGCCCCGUUUGCCACACUCCUGGUUGCUCACACUCCCCGCAGCUGUUUAAAUCUCCCUCAGAGGUUGUAAAUGUCCCUGAAUAGCACAAAAGACCUUGUCAGGGAAGGCCACUUCUUCCCAUGUUUUCCCCAGGACCACCAUGUCAGUCUCUUCUUCUCCACUGUGUUGAUGUUACUUCCUGCUAACUCUGCCUCCAGAGGCUGAUCAGUGUCAAGAUGACCAAGGAAAGGACACCGAACAUAUGCUGCUGGAUUUUUCUCCCCAGUUCCAAUUCACGCAUUUCUAGAGCCUUCUGUUCAGCUUCCAGGUCUGCAAUUUCCUGCUCUAUGCGCAACUGGUGCAGCCGAAGGCUCGUCUCCCGUUCCUUCAUUCUCUGGAGGAUUUCUUCCCCAUUCUCGGCAACAACUCCAUUCUUAUCAGAGAGAAAAGGCUCGUUGACGCUGACAACUGCCAUUACCAUGAGGUACAUCCGGAGGAUUCCAGCAGCCAUGGCAUAUCCUUCCUUGAAAGACAAAGAAAGGUGCAAUGACCCAAGACGCGGAUUAUAUUCCCUCAUGAAGGGAAAGGAAAAAGCUCCCCACUACAAGACAAGCUUUGGCAUUCUUUCUAGCCCUGACAAAAAUGCUGGAGUCCAUAGGUGUUCCUAAGUGCACCCCUGUUGCUGCAAGUUCAAAACCCAGCUGCCCGAAGAGACUCGAUCAGCAGAUGGUGAGGAUACAGGUGAGGAAGAUGUGAAACAGAGAGUGGCAAAAGAUGAACAACCCUGUUUGAGGAGAAGCUCAGCUUGUUAGAUGACAGGGGAAACAAAGCAAAGUCCCCCAGCCAGGAGGAGGAGAGGAGGGGCCCGACAAUCUGGGUGCAGGCAAACAAGGGAGAUGUUGUCCAGCUGAGCACAAAUGGGCUGGGGAGCAGGAAAGCACCACCCAGGUUUCUGGCCGCUCUCACCACUUCAAAACUUGUAACAGUCUUGAGACAAAACCUGACGAAAUCCUGCUUGGCGUGGGCUGAGCCCAGCCUGGCAGCUGGGUCACUGAAGGGUUCCAUCAAGGUCCUCAAGGUUCCAUCAAGACCUCCUGGCUCUCCCAAAGCCCUUCCCUAGGCUGUGUUGGCCAGGGGGUGCAUCAGCCCUCCCUCCUUCCCAAGGACCUGCUCUGACCAGACCAUGUGGGGACAGCAGGCCCUUCUGCUCACAGGAAAGGAGCUGCCAAGUGCUGUGCAGAAACUGCUGCUACGGCCCUUACACACUCUGGCUUAUUCCAAUACGUUUUCAAUCUCAAAAGAGAGAGUUUAAGUCAAACUCUCCCUCUACUCCAUGCAGACAGAUGUUGGAGAGACCUUGACCGAACCUGAGGGGACGGUGGAAGGUCACCUCCCAGCAGGUGCCUCUCAGCGGUGGGUGCACCUGUGCUGCAGCAGCUCCCUCGAACGCCAACCUCCUCUCAUUGCCUUGGAGACAGUCCUCGAGUCCUAGGGUCAUAAAGCCAUGGAAUCCUCAACUCCUACGGCCACGGAAUCCUAGAGUCACAGAAUCCUAGGAAACCCCAGAUUUCGGUGCUCAUUUUUGACUUAGGGACGAUGUUGAGACAUCAGGUUCCUGAGAAUGUUCUCUACUUCAUGAAUUAUCUGGAUGUUUUCAGGAGAAGGUCCCAUACAAGAGCAACUGAAUGCAUCAACAAUACCUUUGUCCAUUUCUGAUCCAAGAUCCCUCAGUCCAUUCCUGAGGAAAGGCAAUGGAUAUUUGAUUGCACCAAGAGUAUUGGACUGAC